GCGGCACUGGCGGGGCCCAGGUGCGGGGCAGAGGGUGCGGGAGGCCGAGAAGCUCGGGAGGAGCGAGAGAGGCGUGAGCGGCUGCAGGGGCGCUGUGUUUAUCGGGAUUUACCAUUGCCAAGGCCUGGGACGCUGCGAGGAAGAGGAAGAUGCCCCAGGACACUGAGGCAGAGCGGGAGCUGAGCAUGGAGAGCAGGGAGGA